AAGGUUUCCGUAGGUGAACCUGCGGAAGGAUCAUUAUUGAAUGAACUUGGUGUGGUUGUUGCUGGCCCUCUUGGGGGYAUGUGCACACCUACCAUCCUCAUCUCUCCACCUGUGCACCUCUUGUAGAUUUGGAAUUGAUUAUCCGWGGCAACUCGGUCGUGAGGACUGCUAGCACUUAGCUGGCUUUCUUUGCAAUUCCAGGUCUAUGUUUUUCAUAUACCCCAUUGUAUGUAACAGAAUGUAUCAUUGGGCCUUGUGCCUAUAAACCUUAUACAACUUUCAGCAACGGAUCUCUUGGCUCUCGCAUCGAUGAAGAACGCAGCGAAAUGCGAUAAGUAAUGUGAAUUGCAGAAUUCAGUGAAUCAUCGAAUCUUUGAACGCACCUUGCGCUCCUUGGUAUUCCGAGGAGCAUGCCUGUUUGAGUGUCAUUAAAUUCUCAACCAUUAUCAACUUUUGCUGAUAUUGGCUUGGAUGUGGGGGUUUAUUUUGCUGGCUUCUCAUAUAGUCAGCUCCCCUUAAAAGCAUUAGCCGGUGCCCCGCGUGGACUGUCUAUUGGUGUGAUAAUUAUCUACGCUAUAGACAUCUGCAAUCAUAUGGGUUUGCGCUGCUUCUAACAGUCUGUUGAUUCAGACAAUACAUGACAAUUUGACCUCAAAUCAGGUAGGACUACCCGCUGAACUUAA
rnacentral:rRNA from 1 species